UACGGAGGGAGCUAGCGUUGUUCGGAAUUACUGGGCGUAAAGCGCACGUAGGCGGCUUUGUAAGUUAGAGGUGAAAGCCCGGGGCUCAACUCCGGAAUUGCCUUUAAGACUGCAUCGCUCGAAUCCGGGAGAGGUGAGUGGAAUUCCGAGUGUAGAGGUGAAAUGCGCAGAUAUCGGGAAGAACACCCGUGGCGAAGGCGGCUCUCUGGGACGGUACUGACGCUGAGACGCGAAAGCGUGGGGAGCGAACAGG
rnacentral:rRNA from 1 species